rnacentral:rRNA from 1 species
UACGUAGGGCGCAAGCGUUGUCCGGAAUUAUUGGGCGUAAAGGGCUCGUAGGCGGUCUGUCGCGUCCGUUGUGAAAACUCGAGGCUCAACCUCGGGCUUGCAGUGGAUACGGGCAGACUAGAGUGCGGUAGGGGGAGACUGGAAUUCCUGGUGUAGCGGUGGAAUGCGCAGAUAUCAGGAGGAACACCGAUGGCGAAGGCAGGUCUCUGGGCCGCAACUGACGCUGAGGAGCGAAAGCGUGGGGAGCGAACAGG